GGAAAUAAAUUUAUGACAUUCACUCACUCCACUGAUCACCAGGGUUGAUUCAGCUGAUCUGGCUGGCCAGGCAGGUGUCCCCUUCCUCCUUUUAUUGCUCCAUGUGCAUCGAAGCUAUGCUUUUGGUGAAAGAGGAUGACCUUCCCCAAAUAGAGGAAGACUGGUCUUUGGUCAAGGGUAUACAAGCAGCUAAACUCCCCUGAUAAGACCUCCAAACAAUCCCUCAAAAUAUGUAAGGUAAAUUGAGAAAUGGCUUAGCAGUUAAGGCCUUUGCCUGCAAAGCCAAAGGACCCAGGUUU
rnacentral:snRNA from 1 species